rnacentral:rRNA from 1 species
UACAGAGGGUGCAAGCGUUAAUCGGAAUUAUUGGGCGUAAAGCGUGCGUAGACGGUUAUGUAAGUCAGGUGUGAAAGCCCAGGGCUCAACCUUGGAAUUGCAUUUGAGACUGCAUAGCUAGGGUGCGGAAGAGGGAAGCGGAAUUUCCGGUGUAGCGGUGAAAUGCGUAGAUAUCGGAAGGAACACCAGUGGCGAAAGCGGCUUCCUGGUCCAGCACCGACGUUCAGGCACGAAAGCGUGGGGAGCAAACAGG